rnacentral:lncRNA from 1 species
CCACUAGUUGUAGAGAAUUACAAACAUACAUCAAAUCAUCAACCUCACUCAACAAUCAAUACUCAUAAGACACUCUCAAUCUCCUCUAGUCCUAUGAAGUAUUCUCUACCCAAACAAACACAAACCCAAACUCUUGUGCACCCUUUCAACACAACCAAACACAUACCCAUAUGUUCCCAUACAUCAUACCUAUGUGGACCCUCUCAAUCUCCUCUAGUCCACUCACAAACAAACAUACAUACCUAUAAGACGUAGAGCCCCAAUACUCCUAUGGGGUGUCUAUCCCACAAAAUCCUACAACUCUCUUACAUCUUUUUCUCAUACCUAACCUUAUAGAGACUUCACCUAUUUAUAAUCAUACAAACUUGCCCAUUAAAAAUCCCUCUCCUUUUAGAAUUCUUCUCUUACAAGUCAAACUUACCUAUUAAGAAUCCUCUUUUUCCUGAAAUUCUUCUUUUGCAAGUCUUCUUGUCCAUUAAGCAAUCUCUGACAAAUCUCAAAUAAAUCUCUAACAAAUCUCAAACAAAUCUCUUAUGGGAUUUGAGUCAAUAUUCCCAACAAUCUCCACCUUGACUCAAAUUUCAUCAAUCAUCUAUCUUCAUGUUAGACAUGCUUGGCUCCACUUGCAAUAGAAGUCUUACAAUCAUCUUCUCUUCUCUUGUGUCUUCACGCUUCAUAUAAACCAAUCAUCAAUCUUUAAAACUUGAACUCGAACUCUUUUCUUAAAUCAAGCUCCUCUGGACUUGCUUCUUCCCAUGUCUCAACCAUGCACUUUCCACAUCUGAAACCUUUAGCUCUUCUCACAUCUCGAACUUUAAGCUCUUUCACAUCUCUUCCACAUCUUGAACUUUCAGCUUUGAUACCAUUUGUUGGGGAAUACCACAGCUCUGAUACCAUUUGUUAGGCUAAAAGCCUCCAAUCCAAUCACACCAGCAGAAGCGAAAUCAAACAAUAAAUCAAACACAAGAGACAACAAUUUAACGUGGUUCGGUCCAACUGACCUACAUCCACUGAUGAGAAAUAAGAUCCACUAGUUGUAGAGAAUUACAAACAUACAUCAAAUCAUCAACCUCACUCAACAAUCAAUACUCAUAAGACACUCUCAAUCUCCUUUAGUCUUAUGAAGUAUUCUCUACCCAAACAAACACAAAUCCAAACUCUUGUGCACCAUUUCAACACAACCAAACACAUACCCAUAUGUUCUCAUACAUCAUACCUAUGUGGACCCU